GACGUUUUGUUCUUCCCGUUUUGUAUUCUGAUUCUUUUUUUUUUUGGUCUUUUGAUUGAGGUUUGAUUUGGUUCUGUCUUUGAUACAUGUUAAUCGAAAAACAACGUUUUCUGUAUUGCAUUAUGUUUUGAAACAAUAACAUUUGAUUAGUAUCAAACCUCAGGUUUAUUUUGGUACCUCUACUUUGAAUGUGAAUUAUUUUCGUUUCUUUUUUUAUUUUGGCACCUCUAUUUUUGACAACUUGGUUAGGUGGUGUUUGUUAUGAUGACCUCUUUCAUUGGCCCAUAAACUCCUCUGGUAUUGAAGUAGGCUUUAAUUGUGACGUUUCAUAUUGAGCACACCAUGAUAUUAAAUUGAUAGUGAGGAUAUGAUGUUGAUCUGUAGUAAAUUCUUUUUGUUUCCAUCUUUAGCGAUUAUGAGGGCAUAUAGUUCAUGAUUUGUUAUUUAUUCUUAGGUGUUGCAGGAGAGGAUAUGAUUUUGAUUUAAGUCUUUAUAUGCUUUUCUCAGAAUCAAACUUCUCUUGACUCUUCUUUUACUCAUCAAGAUUAUGUUUUGUAUAAUUUUUUGAUAUAAUUCUUUGUUUGGUAAUCGAGAGACGUGUUUAUCGGUUUUGCAGCGGGCUAAGAGCUUCCGAUGUCUAGAAUGCGUUCAUAAAAUGGACAAGAGCACAGAGCCAAUAGGUGUUGCUGGAGAGGAUAUGAUUUUGAUUUACGUCUGGAUAUGCGCUCAUAAUUUCUCACAAUCAAACUUCUCUUGACUCUUCUUUUACUCAUCAAGAUUUUUUGUAUAAUUUUUUGAUAUAAUUCUUUGUUUGAUAAUCGAGAGAUGUGUUUAUCUGUUUUGCAGUGGGUUAUGAAGUUUCGAUGGAAUGCCUUGAUAAAAUGGACAAGAACAUGGAGCGUAAAGUUUUAAUUUGGUGAUCUCUAGUAAAUUCUUUUUGUUUCCAUAUAGUUUUUUUUAUAUAACUUGUCAAACUAUUGAAAAUAAAAGAAUAUCAAAAUAUCCGUUUAUACAUUGCAGCGAGCUGAUUUCCAGAUAUCUCGAACAAUUUGGGAUUAUAAUGAAUAAGAACGAUAAUAGCUAUUACAGAUGCAUAAUCAAAUUUCCUCAAUCAUUCGUUCUUUAUUAUUUUUAUUUUUGGGCUUUGAUUACCAUACACUCAAAUUGAAUCGUGAAUCUGUUUUUCUGCAGCAUGGUUUGUCAAAAUCAAAAAAAUGUUGAUCUUUCAUCAAGGCAUAGAGACCUCAAGUUUUGAUUUGCUUCUCUCUUUUAAAAUAUUUUAGUUUUCAAUAACUCCAUCGCUUUCGGAUGCAUAUUUUCUUGAUAUUAUAUUUCCUUUGACGUUGCAGGAAGGUAAUUUGUGAACACAGAUUCCUUCUGGUUCUAUCUUUCUUUUGUUUGAUCUUCAUGUUUUGUAUUCUUAUUCUUUUCUGGUCGUUUGAUUUUGUUCUGGCUUAGUCCGCCAUACAUGUGAAUUGAAAUAUGACACGCUGUUUUCUGCAGUGUAGUGUGUUUUGAAACAAUAAUAUUCUUAGUAGCAUCAAGCCUCAGGUUUAUUUUGCUACCAUGUACUUGGGUUGUGAAUUAUUUUUAUUUUCAUUUCUAUUCUUAUUGUCUAGUCGAUUUACUUCUUUGUUCUAUGUUUGGCUUUUUUAUCUGAAUUAUGAGAGUGCAAAAGUUUACAUGAUUCUUUAGUAGUUGGGACAACUUGGUGGUCCUCUCUUUGUAAUGUUGAUCCGCGACUUGGUUUGAAGAAUUAUGCAACUAUUCUUUCUUUCUUCUUGUUUAUUAUUUUACAAACUAUUUUUCAUAGCGUAAUCUUUCUGUAAAUGUAUCAUGUGGUGUUGGCAGAGCAAGUUUUACAUGGGUUUGGUGUAUUACAAAAGUCUUCAUCUUUCUCAAUCACACCACACCUUUUCAAUUCGCCGUCUGAAAUGUAGAAUAUUGGAGAUAAGUUUCUUUGCCACUUAGUUCUACUUAACUUAUGUGAACAAAUUAACAAGGACACAUGAACCAUUAUGUUUUGAUGGCCGUGUAAUAUAUUUGCUAGGCUUUAAUUUGGGUUUCUCUUCUCUGAUUGGGAUAUAAUGUGGGUUUCAGGAUUAUGAAUUCUUUACAUUUCAUUAUAUCCGUUUCAGCAUCUCCACACUUCUCGAUUCCUUUGUGAAAGCUUAGAGAGAGGAAACACAGACUAACACACCUAUGAAAAAAAGUUUGGUACAGAGUCUGAUAGCAAAUUAAGGAGAUCAUACAUUAAACGUCAACAUAAGUUGGAAAAUGGUCACCAUUUGGUAGAAGAUCAGAAAGCUACUGAAACACAGACUAACACACCUGUGAAAAAGUUUGGUACAGAGUCUGAUAGCAAAUUAAGGAGAUCAUACAUUAAACGUCAACAUGUGUGUGCUUAAAAUUUUACAUCUAAUAUUCUAGUUCUUUAUGCUACUAUGUUCCAUCAUGGAAAGCCUAUUGCUACAUUCACCAUUUACAAAUGUCUUCACUGGAAAUCAUUCGAAGCUGAAAGGACAAGUGUAUUUGAUCGCCUUAUCCAGAUGAUUGGUUCUGCAAUUGAGAAUCAAGACGACAAUUAUCUCAUGGCUUACUGGCUGUCAAAUACAUCUGCACUAUUGUUUCUGCUCCAACAAAGUUUAAAAUCCGGUGGUUCAAAUGACGCAACCCCAGUUAGAAAACCACCAAAUCCAACAUCCCUCUUUGGCAGAAUGACUAUGGGUUUUCGGUCAUCUCCUUCGUCUGCCAACUUUCCUACCCCAUCGGAGGUUGUACGCAAAGUAGAGGCUAAGUAUCUUGCUUUGCUUUUCAAGCAACAGCUCACAGCCUAUGUGGAGAAAAUAUAUGGUAUCUUGCGGGACAACUUGAAGAAAGAGUUGACAUCAUUUAUUUCGUUAUGUAUCCAGGCACCAAGGACAUCUAAGUCUUAGAUCUGGCCGAUCUUUUAGUAAAGAUUCUCCCAUGGGUCAUUGGCAGAGUAUUAUUGAAUCCCUCAACACUAUUCUCUAUACUAUGAAAGAGAACUUUGUGCCUCCUGUCCUUGUCCAAAAGAUCUUCUCUCAAACAUUUUCAUAUAUUAAUGUUCAACUCUUCAACAUUCUUCUUCUACGGUGAUUGUUGCCCAUUCAGCAAUGGAGAAUAUGUGAAGGCUGGUUUAGCAGAAUUGGAGCUGUGGUGCUGCCAAGCAAAGGAGGAGUAUGCUGGGACAUCUUGGGAUGAGCUCAAGCACAUUAGACAGGCAGUUGGAUUAUUGAACUUGAGUACUCUGACAAAGAUUAGAAGAUUUUGGAAUGACUCUUUGGUCUUUCCCAGGAUGAGGAAUUUUGGACAACUUGGAUACAUAAACUUGAUCCUGAUGAUUUGUUUGUUAGGGAUAACUUAACUUUGUCGGGGGAGGUUUUCUAAAUCUUCUUUACUGUUUUGUUGUUUUUGUUGUGAUUAGUGAUUUAUGAUGAUGAUGAUGAUGGUACACCUAAAACGAUACCCUCUGCAUUACAGUGGCCAAAGGACUCGUCUGUAUUUGGUGGAAGCCAAAUUUGUAUCAUUUAAUAUGGCUACAUGAUCUUGCAAAUUGGUUGGACAUUUGGUCAACUCUUUUACGAAUCUUUACAUUUCAGUUUUUUUUAUACUCAGCCUAUACAUUUGUCAGUUCCUGAGUUUUCUUUUUGGGUGUUACAGGGGAGAGAGCCUAUAAAUGUGUUAUGGAACCCAUGGCAGAUAGAGACUCGCUGUUGUUUUUUUUUUACUUGGUUACUUUGGUCUCCUGAUGUUGAGGUUUGAUUUGGUUAAUAUUUUAAUGAUGUUGAGCCUACUAUGAAUUGUUUGGGUUUUAAUUAAUUGCUCUUCCAAUUCUCGUUUGAUUAUAUGUGUACACUUUUGGAUAUAAUUUGCCAUUAAAUACAUUUGCUAUCGCUGUUAAAACUAAAUAGAAUAUUGAGAUAUUCGUUGAUCUAUUUUUGUAAUGAGCUUAUUUCUGAUUUUUGGAUAUCUGGAACAAUUUGCAAUUCUUGAUGAUAAUGAAUAAGAAUGAUAAUGGCUAUUUGCUACAGAUACAUAGAUCAAAUUGAAUGUUGUGUACAUGUUCUUAUGCAGGGUGGUUUUGUCAAAAUAAUGAUGUUCUUUCAUCAUAGCACGGAGCCUCAAGUGUUGGUUUGCAUAUCUCAUUCUAAAGCAUAUUUUCUUGAUAUGUUAGUUCAUCAGGUGUUAUAGUUUUCUUUCUCUUGUUUGAUCUUCCGAUUUUGUAUUCUAGUUCUUUUUUCUGGUCUUUUGAUUUUGAGGUUUGAUUUGUUUUCUGGCUUUGAUACAUUUGAGUUGUUUUCUCAGGUUUAUUUUGGAACCUCUACUUGUAAUGCGAAUUACUUUCAUUUAAUUUUUUAUCAGUCGAUUCUUAUUGUCUAGUCUUCUGGAUUUUUUCCUUUAUGAUUUACCAUUUAUACUUAUUUCUUCCUAUGAUGUUCACAUACUUUCCGUUCAACCUAUAAUGUGUGGCUUGCAAGGGAUCUAGUGGCAGGAAGAGGUUCACAUACUUC